GACGAACGCUGGCGGCGUGCUUAACACAUGCAAGUGGAGCGACGAACCAGGCUUCGGCCUGGGGCAAAGCCGCGAACGGGUGAGUAACACGUGGGUAACCUGCCCUGAUGAUCGGGACAACCCGGGGAACUCGGGCUAAUACCGAAUGUGCUCCCACUACACCAGUAGUGUGAGUAAAGGUAGCUUCGGCCUCCGCAUCGGGAUGGGCCCGCGGCGCAUUAGCUUGUUGGUGGGGUAAAGGCUACCAAGGCAACGAUGCGUAGCUGGUCUGAGAGGACGAUCAGCCACACUGGGACUGAGACACGGCCCAGACUCCUACGGGAGGCAGCAGUGGGGAAUAUUGCACAAUGGGCGAAAGCCUGAUGCAGCGACGCCGCGUGAGGGAUGACGGCCU
rnacentral:rRNA from 1 species